AAGUCCCACUUUUCACCACAGCCGUUCGAUCGUUGAAUAUUUUUCUUACUUGUUCAGUUUCCGACUAAGUCAGUGACACAUGGGGCCAGCUACGUGCGGGGGCCGACUGCUGGAGACUGCGACGCUGCUCGUUUCGUGUCACCUUUUUUCGCGUCCACGGUGAAACCCUACAUCGAGAAAAGCAAGCAGCCAAUCCCCCCCCCCGUCCUAGAGCCCAGCACCAUUCUCGUCUCCUCUCACCCGCGGUGAAAACCAGAUCGAGUCGUGGUGCACCCUGGCGGCGGCCGCGCGGCUCAUGGAUGGCGGGAUUUGGAGGCGACGCCGUGGAGGUUGCAGGCCGGCCAUGCUCCAACCCCACGUGAGACCGGAGAUGACACUCCCAAGCGAGAGGAGGCCAGCGGGGCGCCGCCAAUCCCUGGAUGGAGCCGACGGGGACUACCGCGUUCGUGGGUCGGAGGAGGUGCGGCAGGGGCGCGCACGGAGGUGGGCGGCGGCGACGCCCACUACUCUCCUCGUCCCCGUCCUCUCCUCUUCCUCCGCCCUCGACGUCUCCUUCCGGCGAAGCGACGGCAGGGAGCACACGAGCGGUGGUGGCUGGAUGCUCGUCUCCUCCCAGGCACCCACGACCUCGCAGGACGAGAUGGCUUGGCCAGAGCCGGCCGGCCGUGCUCUUCCUGGUUGGAAGAGGAUGCGGGUGAGGAGGACCCGAAGGGGUCGGAAGGGCGCCGACGGCCAACAUCCGGAGCGACGCCGGCGUGCCUCCUCCCUUCGCUGCUGUGCUCCCACCGCCGCUACUACCACGGUCGUGGAGGCAGUGGGGCACUCGUCACUGGACUCUUGCCGCUCGUUCUUGCGGUCACCUCCGCCUGGCCCCUCUUUGUGGGCUUGCUGCUUGGGGCUCGGUUCUCGCUUCCCCGUCACAUCUGGUCGCGCGCCCAACUCCAUCUCCGGCGUCUCGCGAUGGAGCGAGCUGGAGGCCUCCAGUGUUGGGAGGCAGAGCAGCAGUGUUGCUAGAAUGGGAUGCCGAGUUCAUCAGCCUUUUAUCACAGUUAAUCAAUUUGGAUCUGUUACUGGGAGCAUGCAUUGAGUCCGUGAGAAUCUCAAAACAUGCUUCCUAGAGUGGGGUGUUUAGGGUUUCAGAGAAGGGUGGCGGCGCGCCAGUAGAGUCGCCGGGGCGCUGCGUCGCCUCAGGAAGUUUGUCCACCGCCACCUGCCGGGGCCAUCGACCCCUCCCUGUUCUGGUCAUCUUCACCGGUGGAACGGCGGGAUAUUGCUUGGCUCAAGCGGUGAUGGUCACAAGCCUACCGCCACUCCUCCCCGUUCUCUACUCCAUUUGCCAACUGUACAACAGGCACACUCCCAGGAUAAAGUGAUAUUCCUAUGGGGAUAUCAAGUGGGUCAGCAGCUAACUAUUUGGUAGCUCAAGUGAAUGGGAUACUCUUGGAUGUGUAGAGGCCACUGAAAGGUGUGGGUGUGAUUUAAGUUCCUUAUGUAUGAUAGCGAUGAAGGGUGUGAUACUUUCAGGCAUUCGAUUGCUCUUACUGUUGGAUAGUCUGUCGGGAGGAUGUACAGCUGAGGUUGUGCAGUCUGUUCGUCCUUGAACUGCAAGGGAGAAGUAUAAUGACUUGACACUGAAUGGCACAUGUUUGCCGGGCAUCUCUCUGCAUGUUUAUCGACACACAGACAGUUUUAUUGGGCGAGAUUCUGCCGACGAUGUAGCAAAUUUAUAGCACACGGAUUUAUGAGUGGUGCAAAUUUGUACGUGGUGCUUGUGUACUGAUGUCAAUUGCUUAGCGUUCCAGCCACUGUGGACAUUAAUUUAUGAUGCAAGCUUGCUUUUGUUUCUUUUUAUAUGAUGCAAGCUUCUAUUUUUUGCUUUCUGAUUCGUUUCUCUUUAUAUGAUGCAAGCAUGGUUUCUCCGAGUCGCCAUAGCAUGGUAGAUCAAUUCAUUCCAGCCAAUGUGGACAUUAAUAUGAUGCACAUCUUUUUGGUGUCAUCUUGCCAUGGGCAGCGCCCCGCACCGCCAUGUGCUAGCCAGCAAGAGAGGAAUAUGGCAUCAGAAUGCCCUAGAUUGCUGCACUAGGCACCAACGGCGAGUCGAAGAACAGCAAGGAGCGGCUGCUGUAGCUUUGGACCGCACGGCGCUGGCGACAACAUGUUUGCCCCCUUUAAACCUCGGUCUUCGCAUCCAUUGGAUUCUCUUUUCAUGACUAUAGUACGUUGUAUGGAUAGAAGAAGGUGCAAAACAGGGGCAACUGUUCUGAAAUAGCCGCAUUUUCCAAUUCAUUUGGGAAGUCUUAACUUUUUAGUUUGUUUAAUUGAUCGUACAUCUAUUAAUGCUUGUUGGUUGCUCUGUUUUUUCUGUGGAUAGAAGAGGGCCAGCACAUCUUUGAGAGAAGCAGGCGAGGCGCCAUUGAGAACAGUACUUCAGAUCAUAGGUAAUGGUGGAAACAUUUAUCCAUUAUAUCAUUGUGUCAAGUCGAGCACACUUGCCUUGACGGCAUGAGGCCAGUACCAUCAAGUUCGUUUCCUUCUUUGCUUUUCUGCUUGCUAGAUUAGUGAUUGAUCAUUUAUUCUGCAAUUGUUUUAGCGAACAAAUCAUCUCUUUCAUCAUUAGUUUUAUCAGGACCUCGUGAUCCAAUUCUAGGACUCCACAGACUAUGCAUUUUGUUUCCUUGUUUGAGAUUUAUUGGAACACCUAUGUAUAACUGAAGCUUCCAUUAUUAAGAUAUAAUGCCUCUGUAUUACCACAUAAUACUUUGAUAUGGAAAUAUUUGCCUAGCAUCAGGUUUUACCACAUAAUGGUUGCAGCUGCUCCUAUAUUAUACCACUGGAUUCAUAAAAUGGAAUGUAGGGAGUAUUCUAUUUGCUUAAAAGUUGACCUUCGUACUUGCAGGCUUGUAGUACCUUCAGUUGACCUUUGUGACUUAAUUGGAUGAUUUAGAACUGUACUCUAAACCAUAAGUCUUUGACUUUAAGAUG